UGCACGGUGGUUUAGUGGUUAGCACGUUCGCCUCACACCUCUAGGCUCUGGGGUUCGAUUCCCACCCUGUGUGU